CCUACGGGUGGCAGCAGUGAGGAAUAUUGGUCAAUGGGCGCGAGCCUGAACCAGUCAAGUCGCGUGAGGGAAGACGGUCCUAUGGAUUGUAAACCUCUUUUGUCGGGGAGCAAAAGGCCCCACGCGUGGCGUUCCGAGAGUACCCGGAGAAAAAGCAUCGGCUAACUCCGUGCCAGCAGCCGCGGUAAUACGGAGGAUGCGAGCGUUAUCCGGAUUUAUUGGGUUUAAAGGGUGCGCAGGCGGACGCUUAAGUCAGCGGUAAAAUUGCGGGGCUCAACCUCGUCGAGCCGUUGAAACUGGUUGCCUUGAGUGAGCGAGAAGUAUGCGGAAUGCGCGGUGUAGCGGUGAAAUGCAUAGAUAUCGCGCAGAACUCCGAUUGCGAAGGCAGCAUGCCGGCUCCACACUGACGCUCAGGCACGAAAGUGUGGGUAUCGAACAGGAUUAGAUACCCCUGUAGUC
rnacentral:rRNA from 1 species